AAUAUCUGACAGAUUUGCAUCUGGAGCAGCGAGUUGUAGCAGGAGCAAAGCAUCUGGCACACAGCUGAAAUCCAUUUUUUGAUGUAGACGCAGGAAAUUCAUUUUUCAAUGUGGGCACAUUAAAUUCAUUUUUUGAUGUAGACACAUGAAAUUCAUUUAUUGAUGUAGGCACAAGAGAAGAAACACUGACAGAAGGAACUGCUUCUACUCUAAGAGCUUCUUCAGCAGCCAGUUGAGCAAGCAAACUUAUUCUCUCCCUCUUCUUUGCAGCCUCACUCCAUUUUCCAAGCAAG
rnacentral:lncRNA from 1 species